rnacentral:rRNA from 1 species
CGCCUAACACAUGCAAGUCGAACGAAGUAGCAAUACUUAGUGGCAGACGGGUGAGUAACAUGUAGGUAUCUGCCCUUUGGCCUGGAAUAACACGAGGAAACUUGUGCUAAUACCGGAUAAGUCUUUACAGAGAAAGCUUUAUGCACCAUUGGAUGAGCCUGCAAUUGAUUAGUUUGUUGGUGGGGUAAUGGCCUACCAAGACUGUGAUCAAUAGCUGAUUUGAGAGGAUGAUCAGCCACAUUGGGACUGAGACACGGCCCAAACUCCUACGGGAGGCAGCAGUGGGGAAUCUUGCACAAUGGAGGAAACUCUGAUGCAGCGAUGCCGCGUGAGUGAAGAAGGCCUUUGGGUUGUAAAGCUCUUUCGUCGGGGAAGAAAAUGACUGUACCCGAAUAAGAAGGUCCGGCUAACUUCGUGCCAGCAGCCGCGGUAAUACGAAGGGACCUAGCGUAGUUCGGAAUUACUGGGCUUAAAGAGUUCGUAGGUGGUUGAAAAAGUUGGUGGUGAAAUCCCAGAGCUUAACUCUGGAACUGCCAUCAAAACUUUUCAGCUAGAGUAUGAUAGAGGAAAGCAGAAUUUCUAGUGUAGAGGUGAAAUUCGUAGAUAUUAGAAAGAAUACCGAUUGCGAAGGCAGCUUUCUGGAUCAUUACUGACACUGAGGAACGAAAGCAUGGGUAGCGAAGAGGAUUAGAUACCCUCGUAGUCCAUGCCGUAAACGAUGUGUGUUAGACGUUGGAAAUUUAUUUUCAGUGUCGCAGCGAAAGCGAUAAACACACCGCCUGGGGAGUACGACC